CUCUGUAACUCUUUCCACUACCUCCACUACCGGUGCAUAAUAAAUGAACUAAACUAAACUGAAAUAGAAUUUGAAGUCAACAACUUCAAACAUUUAAGCUGGGGAUGAUUAUUGGUUCAUUAGAGACUCGUUCGUAUUUGGGGAAGUGAAGGAGUGGCUGUUGGCCAGUGAUAAUUGGCACUUCAGACGCGCAAAAUGUUAACCAAUGGGGUGAGUUUUAGGGUGAAUGUCAACCAAUCAGCGGCCGAGUUUGGUUGGCUGCUGGUUAUAAAAGAGACGACGAGACAAAACUCACUUCAGUGUGGUUUUACCUCACUUUUGGUAUACAGUUCCAGCUUCGUCUCUUGAAGAAUCCAGAAUGCUUCUGCUUAAUACUGGUGUGGGAGUGUAGUCUCAGGACAAUAAUGCCCCAGACGGGUCCCUGGUGGUGGUCGUGGUCGUCGUCUCCUGAGUAAAACCAGUUGUCUGCACCAGUAUUCGUCUCACCUCUCCCUUCCCAGAAGUCUUUCAGGGAAAGUCUCUCCAGUUCUCUCAAGACACUAAACGGUUUCAAACUAGUUCUAUAUUACGUCCAACAGUUCUCUUCAAGCGGCACUCUUGUCCUUCCAACACCUUCCACCACUUGAAGUGCCCCAGCUUCCAUUCUCCCCUCACCCCCAGCUUGUCUCCCGGCCUUAAAGGCGACAGGGAACUCAACACUCCAUCCUGUGAAAUACCUGUGAUCCAGUUCAUGUGGAGAAGCGACUAUGAGGGCGGGGCGAGGGCCUGGUGGUGGUCAUCCGGGUACACUGUCUGCACCAACUGGUCUCACUGGAGGGCUCGGGUGACAACAGGGGAGGCCAAGAGGACCGUCUCGGGCUACUGAAGAACAUGUAUAACGAAGGCAUAAAGUGGCAGGACAUUGCCAGCAUGUCGGUCUGUGGGACCAGCCUUUGUUAUAUAUUUUUGCCAGAAAAUGGCCUAGUUUGCUGAAAGGUUAUAUUGUAAAAUAUUAAAAUUAAUUAUAGCACAA